UCCAGACUCCUACGGGAGGCAGCAGUGAGGAAUAUUGGUCAAUGGGCGGGAGCCUGAACCAGCCAAGUCGCGUGAGGGACGACGGCCCUACGGGUUGUAAACCUCUUUUGCCGGGGGACAAACGGCGGCACGCGUGCCGUCCUGAGGGUACCCGGAGAAAAAGCAUCGGCUAACUCCGUGCCAGCAGCCGCGGUAAUACGGAGGAUGCGAGCGUUAUCCGGAUUUAUUGGGUUUAAAGGGUGCGCAGGCGGAAUGUCAAGUCAGCGGUAAAAUUUCGGGGCUCAACCCCGUCGUGCCGUUGAAACUGGCGUUCUUGAGUGAGCGAGAAGUAUGCGGAAUGCGCGGUGUAGCGGUGAAAUGCAUAGAUAUCACGCAGAACUCCGAUUGCGAAGGCAGCAUACCGGCGCUCAACUGACGCUCAUGCACGAAAGCGUGGGUAUCGAACAGGAUUAGAUACCCCGGUAG
rnacentral:rRNA from 1 species